rnacentral:rRNA from 1 species
UACGUAGGCAGCGAGCGUUGUUCGGAGUUACUGGGCGUAAAGGGUGUGUAGGCGGUUCUUUAAGUUUGGUGUGAAAUCUCCCGGCUCAACCGGGAGGGUGCGUCGAAUACUGAGGGACUAGAGUACGGGAGAGGAAAGUGGAAUUCCUGGUGUAGCGGUGAAAUGCGUAGAUAUCAGGAGGAACACCGGUGGUGUAGACGGCUUUCUGGACCGUAACUGACGCUGGAGACACGAAAGCGUGGGUAGCAAACAGG